GGAUAACUUACCCUUAGGACUGGGAUAACUCUGGGAAACUGGGGAUAAUACCGGAUAUUAGGCUAUGGCUGGAAUGCUUUGCCUUUGAAAUGUUUCUUGUAUUCGCCUAAGGAUAGAUCUGCGGCUGAUUAGGUCGUUGGUGGGGUAAUGGCCCACCAAGCCUAUGAUCGGUACGGGUUGUGAGAGCAAGAGCCCGGAGAUGGAACCUGAGACAAGGUUCCAGACCCUACGGGGUGCAGCAGGCGCGAAACCUCCGCAAUGUACGAAAGUGCGACGGGGGGAUCCCAAGUGUUAUUCUUAAUAGGAUAACUUUUCAUUAGUGUAAAAAGCUUUUAGAAUAAGAGCUGGGCAAGACCGGUGCCAGCCGCCGCGGUAACACCGGCAGCUCAAGUGGUAGCUGUUUUUAUUGGGCCUAAAGCGUUCGUAGCCGGUUUGAUAAGUCUUUGGUGAAAGCUUAUGGCUUAACUGUAAGAAUUGCUGAAGAUACUGUCAGACUUGAAGUCGGGAGAGGUUAGAGGUACUACCGGGGUAGGGGUGAAAUCCUAUAAUCCUGGGA
rnacentral:rRNA from 1 species